rnacentral:rRNA from 1 species
GUGGGGAAUCUUCCGCAAUGGACGAAAGUCUGACGGAGCAACGCCGCGUGAGUGAAGAAGGUUUUCGGAUCGUAAAGCUCUUUCGUUAGGGACGAACGUGCUCUUUGUGAAUAAUGAGGAGUAAUGACGGUACCUAAAUAAGAAGCCACGGCUAACUACGUGCCAGCAGCCGCGGUAAUACGUAGGUGGCAAGCGUUGUCCGGAAUUAUUUGGCGUAAAGCGCGCGCAGGCGGGAUAUCAAGUCUGUCUUAAAAGUGCGAGGCUCAACCUCGUGAGGGGACAGAAACUGGUAUUCUUGAGUGUCGGAGAGGAAAGGGGAAUUCCAAGUGUAGCGGUGAAAUGCGUAGAGAUUUGGAAGAACACCAGUGGCGAAGGCGACUUUCUGGACGAUGUCUGACGCUGAGGCGCGAAAGCUAGGGGAGCGAACGGGAUUAGAAACCCUAGUAGUCC